rnacentral:rRNA from 1 species
CAGUCCCACGGGAAUACGAGGGGGGCAAGCGUUGUUCGGAAUUAUUGGGCGUAAAGGGCGCGUAGGCGGUUUGGCAAGUUUGGUGUGAAAUCUUCGGGCUCAACUCGAAGUCUGCACCGAAAACUGCCGGGCUUGAGUAUGGGAGAGGUGAGUGGAAUUUCCGGUGUAGCGGUGAAAUGCGUAGAGAUGUGGAGGAACACCAGUGGCGAAGGCGACUCUCUGGUCUGUAACUGACGCUGAGGAGCGAAAGCGUGGGGAGCGAACAGGAUUAGAUACCCCAGUAGUCCCUGUCUCUUAUACC